CCUUCAGCGUCCUGGAGCUGCCAUUUGUAGGUGGUUUUGAAGUGUUCAACGUGGGUCUUCAGGAACGCCUUCCACAAGAGGAGUGUUACUGGAGAUCCACUGGACUCAACCCAGGCCAAAGUCUUCCUGAGGCCGAGAGGAAGCCACAGAGGAGAUGGGAUGAUAGACAUAGUUUAAUGAAGCACAAGGCCAUGCUAAUCAUUCGAAGCCUGUUUGAAAAGAAGUAAAUCCCUAACCACUUCAAGGCUGAAGGCACAAAGCCUUACCAGCUGCUGUUUCUGGUAGUGGAUCUUGGCCGGCCUCUUCUCCAGGACAGCCCUCAGCACCGGGUUUUUCCAGGUGACCUCAGGAGCCAGUCACUUCAGAAACAGGAUUUCUCUGUGUAGCCCUGGCUGUCCUGGAAUCUACUCUGCACACUUGGCUGUCAAACUUCACAGAGAUCUGC
rnacentral:sRNA from 1 species